AUGACCACCAGCCCCACACACCCAUUCUGGCCUCUGGGCCUGAGGCUGGACAGCUCUGUGACUGAUGACUGCCCCCUUCCCCACCCGAAGCAGAUCCUGGCUGGCCCCUUCUGUCUCUGGAGUCUCAGUUGUGACUGCGUGGCGGUUGUGAGGCUGUGCUGUGGUCGUCCUGCUGGGGACUUGGCAGAGACUGUGCUGGUUUGCACUAUGUGGGUUCAUUCACUUGAGGGCUGGUUCAGCCUCUGCCAUACUUACCUUUCGGAGACCAAACCUUCUUAUCUUAACUUUGGAAAGAGUAUCCCAAGGGAGACAGCCAAUAUGUCCUGAAUGAUAACUGCAUGAUAUGCAUGGAGACCAUCACGGCUUACCUGUGAGGACCACUCAGCUUCUCUCCACCAGCAACCCCCCCACUUUGGCCUAAAGCUUGUGGUCUCUGUGGGUUAGGUAUAUGGACAUGUGCUCUGUUUCCUGACAGAGUACCAUAAUGGAUUCCAGCACGGGGAGCUGGGACACCCACUCGACUUCUGGUUUUACUUUGUCUUCUUGAAUGCCUUGUGGCUGGCACUGCCUGGACCCCUCAUUCUGGCUUCUAUAAAGCAACUUGCUCAUGCCCAGAGCAUACUGGUGCCAAAGCCCCAAAAGCUAAGAGCAAGUAGAACUAGAUAGUGAUGGAUUCAGCUUAAACACUGGCUACUGAGGAACUCUCCACCUGCCAGAAGAUUCCAAUCCUUGCUCCCACAGGUUGGAAGGACAAAUCGAAUUGGUCUGUCAAACUCAGGUUGAUGGGUGGGCAGCGGGAAGAAAAGAGCUGUGCAGAGCCCCUGUCAGGAGCCAAUGGGACAAAGGUACAAGAGAACCUAGGGAGUCUGUGAUGGGGACAAUUUUUUAAAUCAGGAAAUAAAGAUCUUGACCCUCAAAAA